rnacentral:rRNA from 1 species
GAUGAACGCUGGCGGCGUGCCUAAUACAUGCAAGUCGAGCGAACAGACGAGGAGCUUGCUCCUCUGACGUUAGCGGCGGACGGGUGAGUAACACGUGGAUAACCUACCUAUAAGACUGGGAUAACUUCGGGAAACCGGAGUUAAUACCGGAUAAUAUAUUGAACCGCAUGGUUCAAUAGUGAAAGACGGUUUUGCUGUCACUUAUAGAUGGAUCCGCGCCGCAUUAGCUAGUUGGUAAGGUAACGGCUUACCAAGGCAACGAUGCGUAGCCGACCUGAGAGGGUGAUCGGCCACACUGGAGCUGAGACACGGUCCAGACUCCUACGGGAGGCAGCAGUAGGGAAUCUUCCGCAAAGGGCGAAAGCUUGACGGAGCAACGCCGCGUGAGUGAUGAAGGUCUUCGGAUCGUAAAACUCUGUUAUUAGGGAAGAACAAAUGUGUAAGUAACUAUGCACGUCUUGACGGUACCUAAUCAGAAAGCCACGGCUAACUACGUG